CGCAAUUGUUCUCAACACCGGUGUUACUCUCUCUCGUACCGAAUUGGAGUCGGAGUAGGGAAGGCUUUCGAACUACAUUUGAACUCUCCGGGAAAGGGUGAUCUUUUACGAGGAAAUUGUGGUUGAAGAAGGGAA